UACGGAGGGGGCUAGCGUUGUUCGGAAUUACUGGGCGUAAAGCGCACGUAGGCGGCUUUGCAAGUCAGAGGUGAAAGCCCGGGGCUCAACCCCGGAAUUGCCUUUGAGACUGCAUCGCUAGAAUUGUGGAGAGGUAAGUGGAAUUCCGAGUGUAGAGGUGAAAUUCGUAGAUAUUCGGAAGAACACCGGUGGCGAAGGCGGCCUGCUGGGCAGUGGCUGACGCUGAGGCGCGACAGCGUGGGGAGCAAACGAGG
rnacentral:rRNA from 1 species